UCUUCUCCUCCAACCUCACAAGGCAAGCUUCCGAGGCUGCUGCUGUUCCCAAGCUCUCCACCGGUACGGUAUAUAUACACACGAGAGACCUGAGGAGGCAAGAAGAGUCAAAGAAGGCAAGCAAGGUGCAUUUACUCGCGGAUAAUCAGCACAGAUCAAGCUGACGUGAAGGUCGAGCUUCUGUUACCGCCGCGUGCCGGCAUUUGAAUCCAGGUUUCGAUGGUAGAGAAAUGCCAGGCUAGGUUUGAGUAUCCACUUGAAGUCUCCACCGAUAUCGACGCUGGGAUUCUUUAAGACUGUAAGCCAGGGUGAGUUACUCUUUCUUGAAAUCUUGACGAAAGAGCUCAACCGGGGGAGACUGCUGCACAAGUUGCAGGAGCACAAAGUCAACCAACAGGAGUCAAAGGUCCACUGGAUCGCCUUUGCCCACCUCUCUGCAUGGAACUGUGAGCAGAUCAUGCAUGCAGCAACUCAUCCAUCCUAAAGCACGAGUCCACGAGAGCUGCACUUUGAUGGCCUGUUGUCUUGUCUUGCAUCAAAACAUUAACUUCUCAUCCACUCCUUCACUUCAC